CCGGCUCUGCACGCCUGCAACGAGUGCGACAGCACAGGGCCCAAAAUUUCAGAGGCCCCAAAUAUUUUUGUAAUGUUUUAUGUUUACAUAUAAAUAUUGAAAAUUAGGGCCCCAACCACCAGUAUAUAUUCUUCUAUUCUUUGUGCGUUCACUUUUUCUUUCUUUUUCCUACAUGCCGUUCACAUGCUUUGCAGCUUUGAUUGAGACUUGGAAGGGCCCCAUUAAUUCUUUAAUGUCUCUCUCCUCUCCUCAAUUUCAUCCGAUCCUCUCCUUUUUGUUUUUUCUUCUUUGCGUUCUGUCUCUCUCCCCUCUUCAAUUUCAUCCGGUCCUCUCCUUUUUAUUUUCUUUUCUUUGCGUUCUGUCUCUCUCCCCUCAAUUCCAUCUUAUUCUCAUCGACGGAUCGGCCUCAGUAGUCAGUAACUCAGUAUCUCACCAAUCACUACUCGGCCGUUCAGCUAUGAUUCUUUGAUUUUAUUUACAAAUAAAUUAAUGUUUGCUUUAGUAUUCCUAAUGGUUUGAUUUGGUUUUCAAUUUGUAAAGGUUGUGGCUGCCUAGCAAUUUUUUGGGAUUCUGAGAAUUGAAAAAAUUGGAGAAGGAGCUGUGAGCAAACUCAGAGUCUUAUCUCACUCAUCUGAGUCUUUGAUCUUCAAGGAAUCAGGUUCUCUUAUUUACAUUUAUUUGCUUCAAUUUUUUGGGAAUAUUGUUGCAUCGUUGUGUUAAAAUUUAGAAGUAUGCCUCCUAAAAAAAAUGUUUAUCUGGAUAUGCAAAACGUUUAAAGAAGAAAAAAGAUGCAGACUUGGUUCAAUCUUUAAGGGGAAGUCUUGAUAGGUUCAUUACUAGAGAACCAGAAGGUUUGGGCGAAGAUUUAGUUAAUGAAGAGGCAGAAGAGCACACUGAGAGGGAAAAUAAUGUGGAAGAGCACACUAAUAGGGAAAAUAAUGUGGAAGAACACACUGAUGGCAAUGAAGUUGUAGAUGAUUUGGAUCAUGGUGAAAAUGAGAAUGACGGGUUUGUUCAAGUAUUAUUGAUUGGUUAUUUGAUUUUAUAUUGUGAUUUUGUUCAUAUAUAAAUUUCAUGUAAGACUAAAGCUUUGAGGGCCACAUUUUAAGUUUUCGCACAGGGCCUCCGUAAAGUUUGAGACGGCCCUGGAUUGAGCCAUAAUAAUACGUACAAUAUACAUGCUGAUAUCAUCAUAUCAAUGGGUGCUUACGUACGUAGCUUCAUGCUCGAAAUAGGAUCGAAGGUGACGAGGGGUAAAGUCUGAUAACAUGGCAAUAAUAGUGCUGAGAGUUGUGGAUCUGCAAGUUAAGCUUUAAAGAAGAACAUAAGAAAUCACGGAGAAGAUUUUAAGAGAGUUAUAAUAGAGUCUUUCAAUAAUCUAUAUUACAAUUAUGAGUAGAACAGAAACUACUAAUUUGGCAACCGACGAAGUCACCGACUCAAGCCACAGCUGGCACAUAGAAGAUAAGUUUGUAUGAGUAAACUCAAAUAAAAUUACUCAAACAAUUUAUGCUUAUAAUUUCUCAACUCAUGAGGUAAAUUAAAGCAACAACAUUCAAUUCCACAAUACACAACCGAAUUCACAAAUCACACAAGUAAAAAUCAGUAAUUUAUGCAUAGAAAAUUAGUUCAGGAGAUCACCUAAAUCACACAGUUCAAAUAAUAGCAACUCCUGCAUAUGGUGUACAUAGUUCAGGAGAUCACAUUAGAAUCACACAAUUCAAGUCAUAGUAACUCCUGCAUAAAGUUUAGUUCAGGAAAUUAUGUAAAAGUCAAACAAUCCAAAUGAAAAAGGAAUGGAGAAUUUCACAAAUGGUCACUCAAUUUUCAAAUAUAUCACUUUGGUCACUCAACUUUAACUCUGUUAUUAACUUUAGUCAUUUCGUUAAUUUUUUUCAUUAAAAAAAAAUAUUUGCCACAAUAUUAAUGAUAUUUUUGUCCUACCAAUUGUGAAAAAUUGAUAAAUCUGAAUUGGAAUAAUUGAGAAAAGUGAUUAAACUGAGAUAAAAUGCCCAUUUGGUGACUAAAAUUAAUAAUUGGCAGAGUAAUAGUUAAGUGACCAAAGUGAUAUAUUUAAAAAUUGAGUGACCAAAGUGUUGAACGAGUCAUAAUUGAGUGACUAUUUGUUAAAUUCUCCCUUUCUUUUAACUAUAUAUUACAAUUAUGAGACAAUUUAUGGAAGAGAAACUACUAACUUGGUAGUCACCGACUCCAGCCUUAGCUGGCACAUAAAAGAUAAGAUGCCAUGUAUCAAACACUUGUGAAUCUAUCUAGAACCUUCCUGCCACAUUCUUAUGCCAGCACAACAACAUAUUUAUCAGGGAAAAAAAAUGCAAACAGUACCUGAUGUUUGGCCCAUUAGUAACUUUAGUACCUAACAAAAAAAAAAAUCACUUUGAUACCUGAAGUUCGAACCCCGACCCAACUUUAGUACCUAAUUAAAACACUGUUGGCCGUUAAGGCGUUAACCACAUGGCAAAGUUUGAAGGGUAUUAUGGUCCCUUCACUCUUCGUCUUCUUCUUCCUCACGCCCUCUUCAUCUUCUUCUUCCUCCCAACUCUCCCUGUUUCUCCCAACUUAGUUUGUGUGGCCGCGGAGGGUUUUGAUGAGGUCACCGGUUUCGAAGUCCAAGGGGUGGAGGGUUCCGUUGUUGGAGGCGGAGACCAUGAACUAGGAUUCGGUGGAGAAGGCGAGGUCGGAGACGCACUGGUCGUGGCCCUUGAAGGUUUUGUCCAAAUUUGCUUUUGUUCAAUCUGCCUAGUUCCUUCCUUUCCUGAUUUUUCAAAAUUGGACAAGACGAUCAUUAUCAUUGUAUAACACUCCUCCACACACACACACACACACACACACACUCUCUCUCUCUCUCUCUCUCAAUUCAGCCAUAAACUCAACGCUUUUGUCUCCUCCAUCGCCGACCCUCCAAAAAACCCAUUGCAUACCCAGAACACCGGACAUGUAGGACGCCAUCGAUAUUACCAUCACCAUUGACGGCAAUAGAGAUGCAGCACACCAAGCAAUCCAAACAAUUCACAAUCGGGACCGAUCUCGUGUACAAAGUCAGACCAGGAAAUCAAAACCCGGUAGCUGUUUGCAGUUCAAAACCAUCCAUGAAGCCGUCUCAUCUUCCAGAAAAAGAGAAGUCACAGCGAAUCCCACCACCAAUCAAAGCCUUAACUCCGAUCCUCACAGCCUGGGAAACAUCUUAAAGGAUGUGAAUAAAGUGUUGUCAAGCACACCCAGAAUAGUGGCUGACGAUUGUAUAUAUAUUGAUGAGUAACUUACAAGUACAAUUGUAUUAGGAGUGAGACUCUACAUAUAGGAAAGAUAAGACUAGUAAACAGAACCUAUCUACGUGUACGUCUAGGAUAAGAGAGGAUAGGUAACAGAAGAUAAGCCAUACAACAGAAGAUAAGCCAUGCAGCUUGAUCAAUUGAUGAUUGGUUUAUCACUCCCCAGCAAGCUGAGUGGUCUAGGAAGAACGGGAAGCUUGGAGACAAGAAAAUGAAAUCUGGAUGAUGACAGACCUUUUGUAAAGAUGUCCGCUACCUGAUCUGUAGUAGAAACAAACAAGACUUGAAGUUCCUUAUUGACAACUUUUUCCUGAACAUAAUGGUAAUCGACCUCAACAUGCUUUGUGCGAGCAUGAAAGACAGGAUUUGAAGCUAUAGCAAUGGCGGAGAGAUUAUCACACCAAAUAGUAGGACACUAGAGGAAUAAACUAAGAUCACAGAACAUGGAACGAAGCCAUGAAAUCUCAACUGCAGUAAAUGCUAGUUGAUGGUACUCCGCUUCGACACUCGAUCGAGAAACAGUUUUAUGAGUCUUUGAACUCCAUGAAAUCAAAUUCGGACCCAAAUAAACACAAUAGCCACCUGUAGAUUGGCGAUUAUCCGGAUCACCGGCAUAAUCCGCAUCAGAGUAGGCACUAAUGAAUAGGGAACCAGGUUGAUAUUUUAAACCAUGAUGAAUGGAGUACUUCAAAUAACGAAGAAUGCGCUUCACAGCCGCCCAAUGAACAGUGGUUGAGCAAUGCAUGAACUUACAAACUUGAUUCACCGAGUAAGAAAUGUCAGGGCGAGUUCAAGUAAGAUACUGGAGAGCACCCACAACACUUCGAUAUUCACUAGGAUCAGAGAGCUUUUCACCAUCAUAAAGGAUCAGUUUUUGUCCAGAAUGAGCUGGAGUUGUACAAGGUUUGACUUCAUGUAUAUUUGUGCGACGAAGCAAAUCAACAAUGUAUUUGUUUUGGGUCAAAUAUAGAAUAGGUCCAUCAUAUAAAGCUUCAACACCAAGAAAAUAGUGAAUAGACACUACUAAAAAUCUGUUCAUAGACAUCGCAUGUUUUAAAUCGGUCAGACUUGCACACGAUGUAAAAACGUAAUCUAACAUCGUUUUACGAAAAUACCGAUUUAAAUGUAUAUCAUUAACAUCGGGUCUUAAAAUGACCGGUGUUAAAAGUUUUGUUUGAAAAUUUGCGGAAACCUAUUUUUGCAAAACGCGCUAAGUAUUUUAAGUGAAUUGAAGAAGCGGGUACUAAAUCUAAAAACUUUCACACUUAGAAAAAAAUUUGCGCCCGACCCCAAAACUGAAACAGAAAACCCUAGCGAGACUCCUUCAUUCUAAACUCACCCCAAACUGGAUCUCCUCCCAAACUCAACCUCCAUUCUGGACUCUAAGCUUACUCGAACUCGAUCGCCGCCAUUCUAGAGCUCCUCAUUGCUUCCUUCUUCUACGUCCUCAGCUUAUUCGGCAUUGACUCCGUCCAGUCCGUCAUCUUACGCGCCUCCCACUACGACGGUGACGACGUCCUCAUCAACUCCCGCUGCUGCCCUCCCCCUGCCAAACCCAAAUUCGCUUUCUUCUGCUUGAGGGAUUCGAGUUGAUUUUGCUUCCUCCAAAACCUUUUUCAACUCUUCACAGUUCGCCCUCCAAAGCGUUUUGUCCGAGCUCGUUGAAGGACAAGGUUUAUAGGAUCUUCUGCAGGGAAAAGCGUAAGCUCGCCGGUAGAAAGGGUAAGCUUCGUGAUACUUCGCUUUUCUUUUAAGCUCUAUCGUGAACUGGAUUUUUCAAUUUCCGAUUUCAGAUUUGUUUGGAAUCAUUCGGUUGUAGAGAAACUGUAUUAGAACUAUGUCUCCACUGGUGUCUAUGUUGAGAAUCGGUGCUCGGAUAAAAUCACUCAGCUCAUGGAUAAUGUCUACGUCUGUCGCUCUGGAUCGGCUGCAGAUUCUCAGGUUGUUUUCUACUAUGUGAGGCACUUUGUUCAUCAGCACACCGUUCAGCUAUGGCAGCCUGCUACUGUCAAAGUUGUUGCUAAUCUCAUCAGGCUACUGUGAUAUGGCAACAACGUUAGGUUUGAAUAUGUUGCAAACUGGAAAAAAAGGAUGAUAUCUUUAGGUGCUGAUCUCCGGAAGGGAAGAGCCAGAGGCUCUUCUUUCCCCUGCAAUGGAUGCUGUAAUAAGAGUAUUCAAACGUGUCGCUGGAUUAUCUGAGAGUGCAGGCGAGGCAGAGUUGUCUGGUGCUGCUGGAGUUGCAUUCUGUUCCAUCCGUUUGUUGGUAGCAUCCACACAAGCGAUUAAUUUAAUUGGAAAACAAGGAUCAUUAAUCAAAUCUAUACAGGAGAGUACCGCUGCUUCUAUGCGAGUAUUGUCUGGAGAUUAUGCAAACAAUGCAAAUUCCUCUGUCUUAUGCUGAGGACAUUAUUGGGGUUGAAGGAAGGAGUAUUGAAUUUAUUCAUUGUAGUAGUGGAGCCUUGUUAACUGUACAAGAGAGCAGGGGACUACCUGAUGAAAUUACAGUGGAAAUAAAAGGCACCUCAUCACAGGUUCAGGCGGCUCAACAACUGAUUCAGGGCCUUGGAUUACAAGUUGUGAAAUAUUUGGCUGCCAAAUAUGAAGAGCUAGGGUGUGAAGUGAAAUGGAUGGGCAAGCCUGAUAAGGUGAUCUAGUCACAUUGGUCUGGUUACCGCUGUUAACUUCACUUCAUGUGAACCUUUAGCUUAAUACAUAUUUCUCUUGCACUUGACUACCAAGAUGAAUUUUGAGCAAGGCUAGUUUUUGCUUUGAAGCAAAGUUUGGUGUUGAAAUUUUGUAGAUUGUUGCUCAUAUGUUUCUAGGCUAGCCUUUGUAGGUUUUGGGGUAUUCUUUUGUGACAUAUGUUCAAUCAUGAAUUUGGAAAGAAAAUUAAUGGAAAGCCCCAAUUUUUGGAUGA